rnacentral:misc_RNA from 1 species
UUUCCGUAGGUGAACCUGCGGAAGGAUCAUUGUCGAAACCUGCCCAGCAGAACGACCCGCGAACUUGUAUAAACAACCGGGGGCGGGGGGCGUUCUCGCCCCGUGCCCCCGAACGGCGGGGAGACACUCGUGCCUUCUUGCCGAACAACGAACCCCGGCGCGGUCUGCGCCAAGGAACUUCAACUAAAGAGUGCCUCCGGUCGCCUCGGAAACGGCGUGCGUGCCGGGGGCGAAUCUUGUACAAAACCAUAACGACUCUCGGCAACGGAUAUCUCGGCUCUC